GACAGGAAGAACUGUUUUAAAUGAAGGAUAUAUGUAGAAGCCAAAAUUAUCUAAAGUUUUACCCAGAGUACUAACCUUAUUUUUUAAGUUUUUUUUUUUUUCCACGUGGCCUUGGUUUUGUGCAUCAGCUUUGUAAAUGUCAUCCUAGGGUUCAUGUCAUGGUUAAUUUGUAACUAAGAAUGCUCUAGUUUUGCAAUCGAGGGCAUUCUAUAAAGAUGUAAAGGUGUUGCUAUCUGAGAGAUGCAAGUGGCUUCUUGGGCGUGUGCUGAGACGUGUCACUGUCCUUUAGCAAAAAGAGAGACUACCACCCAUAUUUCUUGCCAAACACUCCAUCAAAUACUUUCUUUGGUUUUAUAAAACAAGAGUGAACUAGAAUUGCAGAUGGGAAAUGCAGUUUUCAUGGGGGAGCAGCUGAAACCACUGGCAAUGUUUUUGGAUGAUGUCAAGACCCUCUAUGAAACAGAAGUCUUUUCUGCUGAUUUCUCCAAUGUUUCUGCAGCUCAGCAGGAAAUCAAUAGUUGUGUAGAGAAGCAAACCAAAGGGAAAAUUGUAGGCUUAAUUCAAGACCUCAAGCUGAAUGCUAUUAUGAUUCUGGUGAACUACAUUCACUUCAAAGGUAAGGCAUCAAGAUUAACUUCCAGUCUAGUAUUCAGAUAGAGAACUGGGGAGAGUUUAUGGUCUCUUUAUCAUUGGGAUCAGUAGCUGUCCCUCA